rnacentral:misc_RNA from 1 species
AGUCGUAACAAGGUUUCCGCAGGUGAACCUGCGGAAGGAUCAUUAACACGUAUCCAACGUAAACGUUGCAAUCCCUAAAUCAUCGCCAAACAGUUUUUGAUUCAGGGGAAAGCGGUUUCAACUUACAAGAACAAUCAACACUUUCACACUGACUCCCUCACUUGCCAAUCAAGACACACUUGGACACGGGUUUGGAUUCUGGGCGUCGUUCCGAUUAGGAACGAGUGUACGUCCCUCGACAGGUGGAGCAGCGUCCGCACCUGAACACAUUAAAAACUUGAACAACUGUUAACAAUGGAUAUCUUGGUUCUC